rnacentral:rRNA from 1 species
AUUGAACGCUGGCGGCAGGCCUAACACAUGCAAGUCGAGCGGAUGAAGGGAGCUUGCUCCUGGAUUCAGCGGCGGACGGGUGAGUAAUGCCUAGGAAUCUGCCUUGUAGUGGGGGAUAACGUCCGGAAACGGGCGCUAAUACCGCAUACGUCCUGAGGGAGAAAGUGGGGGAUCUUCGGACCUCACGCUAUCAGAUGAGCCUAGGUCGGAUUAGCUAGUUGGUGGGGUAAAGGCCUACCAAGGCGACGAUCCGUAACUGGUCUGAGAGGAUGAUCAGUCACACUGGAACUGAGACACGGUCCAGACUCCUACGGGAGGCAGCAGUGGGGAAUAUUGGACAAUGGGCGAAAGCCUGAUCCAGCCAUGCCGCGUGUGUGAAGAAGGUCUUCGGAUUGUAAAGCACUUUAAGUUGGGAGGAAGGGAAGUAAGUUAAUACAUUGCUGUUUUGACGUUACCAACAGAAUAAGCACCGGCUAACUUCGUG